rnacentral:pre_miRNA from 1 species
AGUAGAAUUGCUGGGCCAUGUGGUAACCCUAUGUUUAACUUUUUGAGAAAUUAUCAAAGUGUUUUCUAAAGUAUCUGUACCAUUUUACAUUCUCAUUAGCAAU